GCUGUUGCCGUGGGGACGCACUUCUCCCUCCCAAUGCUCAUCCGGCAGUUCGAGCCAGCGGCUGUGGGACUGAGCUCUCUGACGCCUCUCUCAGCUUAGGACACUGCAGGGGCUCCAGCUCCGCGCUAUACGGAUACUUUUCAGAUCGACACUACGUCACAGGAGGGGAGGAGAAGCGUGCUCUCUCUUUCUCUCUCCCUCUCCCUCUUUCUCUCAUUCCAGGGAGCGGGAGAGUGUGCUCGAAAGCAGGAGAGAGCUUUCUCCGCUGAACAAGCUGUAUUGGGGUCCUGCUGGCACCAGUAUCUCUUCCCUCUGACACUCACUGACCUCCCUUUCAGAAGAAAUUGACGGAUUACUGUGAAGAGUGCGGGAGGCAGGCUGCAGCCACCACCGUUUGUGCAUCUGUCGAGCUGGAGUGCGGAACUAGUUAAACCAAGAAAUAACCCAAUGACUGCAGUGUGUGUCACACAGCUUUUUUAACUGCCGCGGCACAGGCAAAUCAAGCGGACGAGGACAGCGACUACAAAAACGUAUGCAGGCAUUCUACUACGGAGACUGGAGGAAGGUAUUUAGCGGUGGCGUCAAGCAGCAGUUUCCAAGGACAAGUAUCUGCGAAUGAGGCGACGGCGAGCGAGGGAGCACGUCUCUGGGAGCGAAACUGGAAUGCUACCACUGCCUAAAGCUCUAUGGGCCUGCAGCUCUACUGCUUUCCUUUGGAUGCUCUUCUGUGGAUUUAUUAGGGGCCAUUUUGGCAUUUCUCUCUUGCUUUCUACAACAAAUACAAAAACCAAAAGGCUUUCCUUUUCUCUGGGAUAUAUGAAUCUUUAAAAGAAAAGAAAAAAAA